rnacentral:rRNA from 1 species
CUACGGGGCGCACCAGUGGGGAAUCUUGGACAAUGGGCGCAAGCCUGAUCCAGCCAUGCCGCGUGAGUGAAGAAGGCCUUAGGGUCGUAAAGCUCUUUCGCCAGAGAUGAUAAUGACAGUAUCUGGUAAAGAAACCCCGGCUAACUCCGUGCCAGCAGCGCGCGGUAAUACGGAGGGGGUUAGCGUUGUUCGGAAUUACUGGGCGUAAAGCGCGCGUAGGCGGAUUAGUCAGUCAGAGGUGAAAUCCCAGGGCUCAACCCUGGAACUGCCUUUGAUACUGCUAGUCUUGAGUUCGAGAGAGGUGAGUGGAAUUCCGAGUGUAGAGGUGAAAUUCGUAGAUAUUCGGAGGAACACCAGUGGCGAAGGCGGCUCACUGGCUCGAUACUGGCGCUGAGGUGCGAAAGUGUGGGGAGCAAACAGGAUUAGAUACCCCCGUAGUC